UGCAAAUGAACCUGAUGGGGAACCUGGGC
rnacentral:piRNA from 2 species